GAAGUAGGUAGCUUAACCUUCGGGAGGGCGCUUACCACUUUGUGAUUCAUGACUGGGGUGAAGUCGUAACAAGGUAACCGUAGGGGAACCUGCGGUUGGAUCACCUCCUUACC
rnacentral:rRNA from 1 species